rnacentral:rRNA from 1 species
AGGGCACCACCAGGAGUGGAGCCUGCGGCUUAAUUUGACUCAACACGGGAAAACUCACCCGGCCCGGACACCGUAAGGAUUGACAGACUGAGAGCUCUUUCUUAAUUCGGUGGGUGGUGGUGCAUGGCCGUUCUUAGUUGGUGGAGCGAUUUGUCUGGUUAAUUCCGAUAACGAACGAGACUCUGGCCUAUUAAAUAGACGGUAUAUUUAAAAGUAUAUCGCACUUCUUAGAGGGACAAGCGGCGUCUAGCCGCAUGAAAUAGAGCAAUAACAGGUCUGUGAUGCCCUUAGAUGUCCGGGGCUGCACGCGCGCUACACUGAAGGAAUCAGUGGGCGUGAUACCUAGUUCGGAAGAACCGGGUAACCCAAGUAAAUUCUUUCGUGCUUGGGAUAGGGAAUUGCAAUUAUUUCCCUUAAACGAGGAAUUCCCAGUAAAUGCGGGUCAUAAGCUCGCGUCGAUUACGUCCCUGCCCUUUGUACACACCGCCCGUCGCUACUACCGAUUGGAUGACUUAGUGA